rnacentral:misc_RNA from 1 species
CAAACCUCAAGCUCGCGCUUGGUCUUGGGCGCCGCCCGCGAGGGCGCGCCAGAAACCCGUAGGCAGUGGUGCCCGCCUCCCAGCGUAGUCAAUUCACCGCUCCGGAGCGCGGCGCGCCGCCCGCCAGACGAACCACCAUCUUCCUAUG